UACAGAGGUCUCAAGCGUUGUCCGGAUUCAUUGGGCGUAAAGGGUGCGUAGGCGGCGCGGUAAGUCGGGUGUGAAAUCUCGGAGCUUAACUCCGAAACUGCAUUCGAUACUGCCGUGCUUGAGGACUGGAGAGGAGACUGGAAUUUACGGUGUAGCGGUGAAAUGCGUAGAUAUCGUAAGGAAGACCAGUGGCGAAGGCGGGUCUCUGGACAGUUCCUGACGCUGAGGCACGAAGGCCAGGGGAGCAAACGGG
rnacentral:rRNA from 1 species